UUACUCACUCUUCCACAGCUGUGGAGAACUUUGAGCUGUCGACAGAGCGACGCGCCCGGGAGCGUCAGGAGUACGAGCGACUGGUCAGCGAGAAGGAGGCUCUCAGGGACCUCAUGGAGGAGGAGCAGAGACGAGAGGAGGAGCAGCAACAACAAGAGGAGAUCACCAGGCUGCGGCAAGAACAGGUUCACAAGGCUCAGCCCAUCAAACACUACAAACCUGUUCUGGUUAAGAAGAGUGAAGUUCCUCUAACAGUCCCUCACAGUCCAAACUUCUCUGAUCGCUUCCGCCUGUGAUCAAAUGUCUCUGUGCUUGUACAUAGAUUGUAUAUUUGAAACGCAUUAAGCUCUAUGUAGUUUCUUGUUAAGCUUUAGAUUUUAAUGAAGUUCUUACAUUUUAUGGUAUUUUACACUUUACUCAAUAAAGUUGAUCCAAAAUCAAUCAUGA